rnacentral:rRNA from 1 species
ACUCCUACGGGAGGCAGCAGUGGGAAUAUUGCACAAUGGGGGGAACCCUGAUGCAGCCAUGCCGCGUGUGUGAAGAAGGCCUUCGGGUUGUAAAGCACUUUCAGUUGUGAGGAAAGGGAUGUAGUUAAUACCUGCAUUCUGUGACGUUAGCAACAGAAGAAGCACCGGCUAACUCCGUGCCAGCAGCCGCGGUAAUACGGAGGGUGCGAGCGUUAAUCGGAAUUACUGGGCGUAAAGCGUGCGUAGGCGGUUAUAUAAGCUAGAUGUGAAAGCCCGGGGCUUAACCUCGGAACUGCAUUUAGAACUGUAUGACUAGAGUUUUGUAGAGGGUGGUGGAAUUUCCAGUGUAGCGGUGAAAUGCGUAGAGAUUGGAAGGAACAUCAGUGGCGAAGGCGGCCACCUGGACAAAAACUGACGCUGAGGCACGAAAGCGUGGGUAGCAAACAGGAUUAGAUACCCUGGUAGCGACUG